rnacentral:rRNA from 1 species
CCCUUAGAGUUUGAUCCUGGCUCAGAACGAACGCUGGCGGCGUGCUUAACACAUGCAAGUCGAACGCGAUUGAGAGCUUGCCCUCAUGAAAGUGGCGCACGGGUGAGUAACACGUGGAUAAUCUGCCUGGCGAUUCGGGAUAACACUUCGAAAGGGGUGCUAAUACCGGAUAAGCCCACGGUCUCUUCGGAGAGCGCGGGAAAAGGGGGCCUCUGUAUAUGCUCCUGUCGCUAGAUGAGU